UUGAUCCUGCCAGUAGUCAUAUGCUUGUCUCAAAGAUUAAGCCAUGCAUGUCUCAGUACAAGCCACAUUAAGGUGAAACCGCGAAAGGCUCAUUAAAUCAGUUAUGGUUCCUUAGAUCGUACCCACAUUUACUUGGAUAACUGUGGUAAUUCUAGAGCUAAUACAUGCAAACAGAGUUCCGACCGGAGACGGGAGGAAUGCUUUUAUUAGAUCAAAACCAAUCGGCGGCGGGUGCGCUCGCGCGCCCGUUCGCCGCUCAACCUGGUGACUCUGAAUAACUUUCGGCUGAUCGCACGGUCCAGCACCGGCGACGCAUCUUUCAAAUGUCUGCCUUAUCAACUGUCGAUGGUAGGUUCUGCGCCUACCAUGGUCGUAACGGGUAACGGGGAAUCAGGGUUCGAUUCCGGAGAGGGAGCCUGAGAAACGGCUACCACAUCCAAGGAAGGCAGCAGGCGCGCAAAUUACCCACUCCCGGCACGGGGAGGUAGUGACGAAAAAUAACGAUACGGGACUCAUCCGAGGCCCCGUAAUCGGAAU
rnacentral:rRNA from 1 species